CGGAGAAAAAGAAGGAAGAGAAUGAAGAGAAGGAGGCGGUGAAGAAGCGGCAGACGGGUGCGCGCUCGUCUCGCGCGCACGUGACCGGAGGGAAGAAGGGAGGAUUUCGAAAGCCUGGCACGAUGCCAAGCCGCAAUUAUAACACGUCAGUGAACGAGUGGGGUGGGUGCGUGCGAGUGCGGGGAGGGGAAAGACAGAUGACGUCGUGCUUAUAAAAAACAUGUGUGAGAAGAGAAUAAAGUGGAGGCGGAGAGGAAUGUGACUGUGGAUUGCGCAAAAUUAGAAGAGAAGAACAAAAGAAUUCGAUUGCAAUGUGUUCAGAUAAUGUCUUUCUGACAUUCGUGCUUUUCU
ensembl:ncRNA T28B11.18 ncRNA